UACGAAGGGGGCUAGCGUUGUUCGGAAUUACUGGGCGUAAAGCGUGCGCAGGCGGUUCGCUAAGACCGAUGUGAAAUCCCCGGGCUUAACCUGGGAACUGCAUUGGUGACUGGCGGGCUAGAGUGUGGCAGAGGGGGGUAGAAUUCCACGUGUAGCAGUGAAAUGCGUAGAGAUGUGGAGGAAUACCGAUGGCGAAGGCAGCCCCCUGGGCUAACACUGACGCUCAUGCACGAAAGCGUGGGGAGCAAACAGG
rnacentral:rRNA from 1 species